rnacentral:rRNA from 1 species
CAGUAGCCGCGGUAAUACGAAGGGUGCAAGCGUUAAUCGGAAUUACUGGGCGUAAAGCGUGCGUAGGCGGUUUGUUAAGUCUGCUGUGAAAUCCCCGGUCUCAACCUGGGAAUGGCAGUGGAUACUGGCAAGCUAGAGUGUGUCAGAGGAUGGUGGAAUUCCCGGUGUAGCGGUGAAAUGCGUAGAGAUCGGGAGGAACACCAGUGGCGAAGGCGGCCAUCUGGGACAACACUGACGCUGAGGCACGAAAGCGUGGGGAGCAAACAGGAUUAGAUACCCCGUAGUCCCUGUCUCUUAUACA